rnacentral:rRNA from 1 species
UACGUAGGGACCAAGCGUUGUUCGGAUUUACUGGGCGUAAAGCGUGCGCAGGCGGCUUUGCAAGACAGAUGUGAAAUCCCCGGGCUUAACCUGGGAACUGCAUUUGUGACUGCAUGGCUGGAGUGCGGCAGAGGGGGAUGGAAUUCCGCGUGUAGCAGUGAAAUGCGUAGAUAUCAUCUGGAACGCCUGCGGUGAAAACGGCUCGCUGGGAGCAAUCUGACGCUGAGACACGAAAGCCAGGGGAGCGAACGGG